UCCGACCAGGCCACGCGACAGGCAGGCGCUGGAGGGACCCACACAGCAAGGGAGGCUGUGUGACCCCGGCAGGCAGGUCCCCUCGCCUCUCCGUCAAGGGCCUGCCUAGGGGGCUGCGAGGAGACAUGGAUAAGUGAAACUGUCCUCCAGCCAUGGCUGACCCCACACGUGCCCAAGCUCACCAUACCUUUUUUCAAACUCUGGAGAACUCCUACUCAUCCUGCAAAACUCCAGGUGAGCUGCCCCUUCUUCUGAAAUGUCUCACAGGGUUUCUCUGAGAACCAAAACCCAAAGUACAUGUGUGAACACAUGGGCGUGGUUCCCAGGGGAGGAGUACCACGCUCGAGGCUGUCCUUAUCAUUAAUUAUAAAGAUGGUGACCAAGGGCACACAUGUGUGAGCAGGAGUGCUCCGAGGGAUAGUGGUUAGCAGGAAGGUUUUCUGGCUUGGGUUUCAAGCCCAGCCUUGGCAGAUGGGACAGUUUUCAGAAAGGAGAGGAGGAAAUGGGAGGCUUGGAAUAGGCUGUCAUGCGGCCGGUUUAAAUAUGGCUGCCAGUUCCUUGGUCCUCCUCUCCUCGAGGACCCCUCCCCUUGAAUCUGGACAGGCUUGUGACCACUUCAGCCAACAGAGCGUCACAGCCAAGCUGCCGCGUAGCUUCCCAGGCUGAGUCAAAAGGCCACACAGCUUCUACCCCGGAGUCCUGAGGCGCCAUGUGGGAAGGAAGCUCAAUGCUGGGAGACCUCCAUGCAGUGAGGAAGCCCGGGCCGCCUGGAGAGGCCACGUGGAGGUGCGCUGGCGGGCAGUCCAGCCUUCGAGUCACCCCAGGCCAGGCGCCAGACGUGUGGAUGAGGCAGCCACAUCAGAGGCAGCUCCCCAGCCUCAGGUCUUCCAGCUCCAGCCAUUUAAGUCGUGCCAGAGAAACGAGAGCAAGGAUGAGCCGUAUGUGUUACCACGUGCCUGGCACACAGAGGAGCCCCAUAAAUAUUUGUUUAAUGAGUGCAUGCUGCCCACUUUGCCUCCAGGACAUUUUCCCAAUCUGCUGUCUCACCAGCAUCACUUAAGAACUUUCAUUCCCUGAACCCUCACUGGAAAUUUUUAUUUUUACAUAACAAAAAUCUCCAUUAUUUUCUUUAUUUCCUGUCCUGAAGGCCCUGAUGUGAGUGUCAUUGCUUAGGAAGAUUUUUCCCACAUCAAAAUUAUGUAAAUAAUUGUAUUUUUCCCCCAUGUAUUUAUGAUUUCAUUUUUUUACCUUAAGAUUCUUUUUUUUUUCUUUGAGGAAGAUUAGCCCUGAGUAACUGCUGCCAAUCCUCCUCUUUUUGCCGAGGAAGACUGGCCCGGAGCUAACAUCCAUGCCCAUCUUCCUCUACUUUAUACAUGGGACGCCUACCACAGCAUGGCGUGCCAAGCGGUGCCAUGUCCACACCUGGGAUCCGAACCGGCAAACCCCGGGCCACCGAAGUGGAAUGUACACACUUAACCGCUGCACCACUGGGCCAUCCCCUACCUUAAGAUUCUUAAUCUAUCUCAAGCUUAUUUUGUUGUAAGAAGAGAGACCUGGGUCUAAUGUCAUGUCAUUUUUCAAAAUAGUUACCACUUGCUCCAUCC
rnacentral:lncRNA from 1 species